UCUCGAUCACCCAGACGCAUUAUGAAUAUAGCGUCUGGAUUAUUGUAUCUUUGGAUUUCGUCCCUAGAUGGCGUAAUAAAAUUUGGUAAUGACCGUGACCACGUUUUGCCGGAAGGUAAACACAUCAGGAAUAUUGACAUCACAUGUGGCAGUUGUUAACCAUAGUUUUAGUCUAAAUUGAGACGUUUAAGACAAGCAUGGAAACUAGACACUGACUGUUAUCUAAUCAGGAUAAAGGGGCUGCUGUGAACAUUCAACCAAGCUGACUAUCAAACUAGUCAUGUCAAUAGUCUGUAUUGAAUGGCUGCAGAAAAACAAACAAUAUGCAAAUGUAUAUACAGGAAUGAAGAGACCUCACAGAUAACUGACUGUCAUUGGUAAGACUUUCCUAUCCAAUACAAGUACAUUUUGUAUUUCAUCUUGGAAGAAGCAAAAAACAACAGGUCUGACGAUGGUGACAUGUCAAAUUAAUCUAACAGAUACUAGUGAGGAAAUCAAGAAACAAGAGUAGACACCAUGAGACCAUUUGUGCUUACAAUACUAGUGCAACAAUUGUGGUUGAUGUCCAUAUCAUAUUGUAUUAUGAUAAUACAUUACAGCGUCCACAGAAAAAUUAUCAUCUUGGUCGUCAAUGCCUCUCAUUUCUUAAUAAAUUGCAUUUCUUAUA